AUCCAGUUGAUGAGUCCCAAAUAGGACAAAACACGCGUCAAACUGGAU
rnacentral:hammerhead_ribozyme from 1 species